GGAUUGCUCAGUUGGUUAGAGUGUGGUGCUAGUAAUGCCAAGGUUGCAGGUUUGAUCCCCGUAUGGAACA